rnacentral:rRNA from 1 species
GCUGGCGGCAUGCCUUUACACAUGCAAGUCGAACGGCAGCACGGAGCUUGCUCUGGUGGCGAGUGGCGAACGGGUGAGUAAUAUAUCGGAACGUACCCUGGAGUGGGGGAUAACGUAGCGAAAGUUACGCUAAUACCGCAUACGAUCUAAGGAUGAAAGCAGGGGACCGCAAGGCCUUGUGCUCCUGGAGCGGCCGAUAUCUGAUUAGCUAGUUGGUGGGGUAAAGGCCUACCAAGGCAUCGAUCAGUAGCUGGUCUGAGAGGACGACCAGCCACACUGGAACUGAGACACGGUCCAGACUCCUACGGGAGGCAGCAGUGGGGAAUUUUGGACAAUGGGCGAAAGCCUGAUCCAGCAAUGCCGCGUGAGUGAAGAAGGCCUUCGGGUUGUAAAGCUCUUUUGUCAGGGAAGAAACGGUGAGGGCUAAUAUCCCUUGCUAAUGACGGUACCUGAAGAAUAAGCACCGGCUAACUACGUGCCAGCAGCCGCGGUAAUACGUAGGGUGCAAGCGUUAAUCGGAAUUACUGGGCGUAAAGCGUGCGCAGGCGGUUUUGUAAGUCUGUCGUGAAAUCCCCGGGCUCAACCUGGGAAUUGCGAUGGAGACUGCAAGGCUAGAAUCUGGGCAGAGGGGGGGUAGAAUUCCACGUGUAGCAGGUGGAAAUGCGUAGAGAUGUGGAGGGAACACCGAUGGGCGAAGGGCAGGCCCC